UUGGGAUGAAUUAUCGAGAUCAUUCUCAAAAACACUAAAGUGAUAGUUAGUCUAUAGUGAUUUUAUUCUCUUUGCGGUAGUCGUUGUCUUUCUUAUGAUAACAAGCGUUUGGAGCCUUUCGGUCAAGUACAAGAAUAAAACGUAAAGAUUUCCUACCCUCAGUAGUCUUCAACCAGAUUAU